UACGUAGGGUCCGAGCGUUGUCCGGAAUUAUUGGGCGUAAAGGGCUCGUAGGCGGUCCGUCGCGUCGGGAGUGAAAACUCGGAGCUUAACUCCGAGCCUGCUUCCGAUACGGGCAGACUAGAGGUAGGCAGGGGAGAGCGGAAUUCCUGGUGUAGCGGUGAAAUGCGCAGAUAUCAGGAGGAACACCGGUGGCGAAGGCGGUUCUCUGGGCCUGUACUGACGCUGAGGAACGAAAGCGUGGGGAGCGAACAGG
rnacentral:rRNA from 1 species